CCUACGGGUGGCUGCAGUGAGGAAUAUUGGUCAAUGGACGAUAGCCUGAACCAGCCAAGUCGCGUGAAGGAAGACUGCCCUAUGGGUUGUAAACUUCUUUUAUCUGGGAAUAAAACAGGGUAUGCAAACCCUCUUGUAUGUCCCAUAUGAAUAACGACCGGCUAAUUCCGUCCCGGAGGCAGCGGUAAUACGGAGGGUCCGAGCGUUAUCCGGAUUUAUUGGGUUUAAAGGGAGCGCAGGUGGAUUGUUAAGCCAGUUGUGAAAGUUUGGGGCUCAACCGGGAAAUUGCAGUUGAAACUGGCUGGCUAGAGUGCAGUAGAGGGAGGCGGAAUUCGUGGUGUAGCAGUGAAAUGCUUAGAUAUCACGAAGAACACCGAUGGCGAAGGCAGCUCACUGGACUGCAACUGACACUGAUGCUCGAAAGCGUGGGGAGCAAACAGGAUUAGAUACCCUAGUAGUC
rnacentral:rRNA from 1 species